GAAAAUUCGUCUGAAAGUGUGGCGUCCUCUCGUUCUCUGAGCUUUCACUGGGAGCUACAAUCCCGAGCUGUUAGUGAUCAGCCAUCUUGGAUCUCUCUCCUUUUUUUUUUUUAAGACAGGUUCUUGCUCUGUCACCAAGAAGUGCAGUGGCAUGAUCAUAGCUCACUGUAACCGUGAACUCCUGGCCUCAAGCAAUCCUCCUGCCUCAGCCUCCCAAAGUGUUUAGAUUAUAGGCAUGGGUCAUUGUACCCGUCCUGUUCUUGAUUAUUAAACAAAGAAGUAAGCAAGCAAAUAAAGAAUAAAAGUUACUUCUGAAUAAGCA
rnacentral:lncRNA from 1 species